CGUAGGGUGCAGGCGUUAAUCGGAAUUACUGGGCGUAAAGCGUGCGCAGGCGGUCUUUUAAGUCAGAUGUGAAAUCCCCGGGCUUAACCUGGGAACUGCGUUUGAAACUGGAAGGCUAGAGUGUGGCAGAGGGGGGUGGAAUUCCACGUGUAGCAGUGAAAUGCGUAGAUAUGUGGAGGAACACCGAUGGCGAAGGCAGCCCCCUGGGCUAACACUGACGCUCAUGCACGAAAGCGUGGGGAGCAAACAGGAUUAGAUACCCAGGUAGUCCACGCCCUAAACUAUGUCAACUGGUUGUCGGGGAAGCAAUUCCUUGGCAACGAAGCUAACGCGUGAAGUUGACCGCCUGGGGAGUACGGCCGCAAGGUUAA
rnacentral:rRNA from 1 species